ensembl:lncRNA
CGGAAACAGACAGACAAGAACAGGGAAAGGACGUAGAGGAGAGGAAAAGCAAAAACCUGGCAUCCACUGAGAGCUACUGUGUGCAGGCGCCUGGGCCCACCAAGGCAGCAGAUGUGCCCUGCCCCUGGACUCCCAUCGGGUGAAGAGGAACCUGAUUCCCCAUCACGGGCAAAAGCAGCAGAGGCCCCGAGGGUCAGGGCCCCCGUUGAAGAGAGGAUGAGGCCACAUUCUCCUCUGUCCACCUAGGUCUGUCUGUCUGUCUGUCUCCUGUGUCUCUGCCUCUCUCCUCCAUCUCUCUGUCUCUAGGUCUGGGUCUCUGUCUCCACCCCAUUCCCUAUCCCCUUCCGCACCCUUCUUAACCUCUCGUCCCCAAUCCUCCCCCCUUCCUCCCUGCUCGCGCCCCUCCUUCUCCCUCUCCCUCCACCUUCGGCCGGCAGGGGGCGCUGCGGGGCGGCCUCGGCGGCCCGGGGAGGCGGGGCGGGCGGCGGCCGCGUCGGGACUCGCCGCGAUGGGACCGGAGACGGCGCGGGCGGCGGCGGCGGCGGCGCAGACAAAGGCGCGGGCGGUGCGGAGGGCGGCGCGGAGGGCGCGGGCCCCGGAGCCAGCGAGCGAGCGGGGCGCCCGUCUGUGGGGAGUCGGCGCCGCGGGGCCGCACCCGCUUAGCGCCCGGACACUUGCGGGGCGCCGAGCCGGCAGGGCUGGAGGCUCCCUGGGGAUUUGGACUUUGACUCCAAGAGGCCAAGCCAGCAGUUCCUACCAUCCCCCUGGCUGUCCCUUGGAGCC